CCUACGGGAGGCAGCAGUAGGGAAUAUUGCUCAAUGGGGGAAACCCUGAAGCAGUAACGCCGCGUGAAGGAUGAAGUUUUUCGGAUUGUAAACUCCUAUCGUCAGAGAAGAUAAUGACGGUAUCUUACGUAUGAGCACCGGCUAACUCCGUGCCAGCAGCCACGGUAAUACGGAGGGGGCAAGCGUUACUCGGAAUCCCUGGGCGUAAAGAGCGCGUAGGCGGGAUAGCAAGACAGAUGUGAAAUCCUAUGGCUUAACCAUAGAACUGCCUUUGAAACUGUUAUGCUAGAGUGUGGGAGAGGUAGGUGGAAUUCUUGGUGUAGGGGUAAAAUCCGUAGAGAGCAAGAGGAAUACCAGUGGCGAAGGCGACCUGCUAGAACAUAACUGACGCUGAUGCGCGAAAGCGUGGGGAGCAAACAGGAUUAGAUACCCCUGUAGUC
rnacentral:rRNA from 1 species